AUUGAACGCUGGCGGCAGGCCUAACACAUGCAAGUCGAACGAGUGGCGGACGGGUGAGUAAUGUCUGGGAAACUGCCUGAUGGAGGGGGAUAACUCCUGGAAACGGUAGCUAAUACCGCAUACCAUCGGAUGUGCCCAGAGGGGAUUAGCUAGUAGGUGGGGUAAAGGCUCACCUAUGCGACGAUCCCUAGCUGGUCUGAGAGGAUGACCAGCCACACUGGAACGGUGACACGGUCCAGACUCCUACGUGAGACAGCAGGGGGGAAUAUUGCACAAUGGGCGCAAUCCUGAUGCAGCCAUGCCGCGUGUAUGAAGAAGGCCUUCGGGUUGUAAAGUACUUUCAGCGGGGAGGCGUUACCCGCAGAAGAAGCACCGGCUAACUCCGUGCCAGCGGCCGCGGUAAUAC
rnacentral:rRNA from 1 species